rnacentral:rRNA from 1 species
ACUCCUACGGGAGGCAGCAGUGGGGAAUAUUGGACAAUGGGGGCAACCCUGAUCCAGCAAUGCCGCGUGAGUGAUGAAGGCCUUAGGGUUGUAAAGCCCUUUUGCACGCGACGAUGAUGACGGUACCCGCAGAAGAAGCCCCGGCUAACUUCGUGCCAGCAGCCGCGGUAAUACGUAGGUGGCAAGCGUUGUCCGGAAUUACUGGGUGUAAAGCGCGCGUAGGCGGUAGGCCAAGUCUGCUGUGAAAUCGCCCGGCUCAACUGGGAGAGGGCCGUCCAGACGGGGUCACUUGAGGGGCGGAGAGGGGCGUGGAAUUCCGGGUGGAGCGGUGAAAUGCGUAGAGAUCGGGAGGAACAUCAGUGGCGAAGGCGGCCAUCUGGAUCAACACUGACGCUGAGGCACGAAAGCGUGGGGAGCAAACAGGAUUAGAUACCCUGGUAGUCCACGCCCUAAACGAUGCGAACUGGAUGUUGGUCUCAACUCGGAGAUCAGUGUCGAAGCUAACGCGUUAAGUUCGCCGCCUGGGGAGUACGGUCGCAAGAUUAAAACUCAAAGGAAUUGACG